UCUCAAAGAUUAAGCCAUGCAUGUCUAAGUACAAGCCUUAUUAAGGUGAAACCGCGAAUGGCUCAUUAAAUCAGCUAUGAUUUAUUAGAUGUUGAACCGUAUCUACAUGGAUAACUGUGGUAAUUCUAGAGCUAAUACAUGCCCAAAAGCUUUGACCUGGAAACGGGAAGAAGCGCAUUUAUUAGACCAAGACCAAUGGAUUUAGCCACUUUAGUGGGGCGAUCCUUUGCUGAUGGUGACUCUGGAUAACUGUAGCUGAUCGCAUGGCCUCCGAGCCGGCGACAUAUCUUUCAAGUGUCUGCCUUAUCAACUGUCGAUGGUAGGUUAAAUGCCUACCAUGGUUGUAACGGGUAACGGGGAAUCAGGGUUCGAUUCCGGAGAGGGAGCCUGAGAAACGGCUACCACAUCCAAGGAAGGCAGCAGGCACGCAAAUUACCCAAUCCCAGUUCGGGGAUGUAGUGACGAAAAAUAACAAAAUAGGACUCUAAUGAGGCCCUAUUAUUGGAAUGAGAACAAUCUAAAUCCUUUAUCGAGGAUCUAUUGGAGGGCAAGUCUGGUGCCAGCAGCCGCGGUAAUUCCAGCUCCAAUAGCGUAUAUUAAAGUUGUUGCGGUUAAAAAGCUCGUAGUUGGAUCUCAGUUCGUGCCUGUCGGUCCGUCUCUGAAAGGCGGCCACUGACAGUUGCCGGACAGCUUAUCGAUUAGUGUUUCCCGAGAGGGGACACUCGUAAGGUCCCAUGGUGCUCUUCACCGGGUGUCAUGGGCGAUCGAUACGUUUACUUUGAAAAAAUUAGAGUGCUCAAAGCAGGCGUUGCUUUCAUUGGUGUACGCCCGAAUAAUGUUGCAUGGAAUAAUGGAAUAGGACCUCGGUUCUAUUUUGUUGGUCUUAAGGACCUGAGGUAAUGAUUAAGAGGGACAGACGGGGGCAUUCGUAUUGCAGCGCUAGAGGUGAAAUUCUUGGACCGUUGCAAGACGAACUAAGGCGAAAGCAUUUGCCAAGAAUGUUUUCAUUAAUCAAGAACGAAAGUUAGAGGUUCGAAGGCGAUCAGAUACCGCCCUAGUUCUAACCAUAAACGAUGCCAACCAGCGAUUAGCCUGAGUUCCUUAAAUGACUCGGCUAGCAGCUUCCGGGAAACCAAAGUGUUUCGGUUCCGGGGGAAGUAUGGUUGCAAAGCUGAAACUUAAAGGAAUUGACGGAAGGGCACCACCAGGAGUGGAGCCUGCGGCUUAAUUUGACUCAACACGGGAAAACUUACCCGGCCCGGACACUGGAAGGAUUGACAGAUUGAGAGCUCUUUCUUGAUUCAGUGGGUGGUGGUGCAUGGCCGUUCUUAGUUGGUGGAGCGAUUUGUCUGGUUAAUUCCGAUAACGAACGAGACUCUAGCCUACUAAAUAGACUGUUCAGUUUUAUAGCUGGAAUCACCGGGUAUGUAGCUCUCGGGUUGCAUGCUCGGCUCUGGUGACACUGGCAGUGCUUCUUAGAGGGACAGGCGGCGGUUCAGCCGCACGAAACAGAGCAAUAACAGGUCUGUGAUGCCCUUAGAUGUCCGGGGCUGCACGCGCGCUACACUGAAGUGAUCAGCGUGCAAUUUACGUUUGGUGAUCUGUCAAGAUUGCCCAACCCGUUGAACCUUCUUCGUGAUUGGGAUAGGGGAUUGUAAUUAUUCCCCUUGAACGAGGAAUUCCCAGUAAGCGCAAGUCAUAAGCUUGCGUUGAUUACGUCCCUGCCCUUUGUACACACCGCCCGUCGCUACUACUGAUUGAAUGAAUUAGUGAGGUCUUCGGACUGGCCUGUGCUGGCUGUUUCGGCAGCUGCACAUGGCUCGGGAAGAUGCCCAAACUUGUUCAUUUAGAAGAAGUAAAAGUCGUAA
rnacentral:rRNA from 1 species